CGCCGCCGCUGCCACACGCAUCAGCAUCACCUUCACCAGUGGUAGAUACAUCGUAUCUACCACCAUAUAUCGUGAAAGAGAUCAAGAAUUGGCAGCGGCAGCAGCAGCAACAAUGGCAGUGGCAGCAAAUGGGAGUGCAAAAUUACAUGCCAGUUCUACCACCACGGUGGAGUAGAACAGGAGGAAAUCGCGGUCACCGAGGAGGUCGCGGUGGAAAUCGCGGUGGAAAUCGCGGUGGAGGUGGACACCGGCCGGUCCACUUCCAUUUUUAAAACUACUACUGUCCCCGUUGUUGGUUUCGAAUAUCUCUGGUACUUUAGAAUACAAAAUUAAUGAUAUACAACCAGUAAAUAUUUUUUUAUUAUUAGUACAUUAAAUUUUUUUUUAUUAUUAGUAGUAUCUACAAAUUAGAAACGCAAUUGGGUCGAUUUCGCGAACAGUAGGAUCCAUUGGUUUCCAAAAUUAGAGAGAGAGAAAUGUAUUAUAUCGGUAAUAUUAAGGUAUAUCGAUUAAAAUGAAAUUCAAAGUUUGCGUGCAAUACUGAAAUGAAAAUUUAUGUCAAUAUUGAAAGAUUAUUUUUGAAUUAAUUUUAAUGAAAUCUUGUUGAAAGUAUGCUCACAAAUGUGAUGAUCUCUGCUUUGAGGCGGUCACAGUGCUUUUACCUUCGUUGCACAAAGAAAACCAACAAUAGGGCAAAUUAAAUUGAGCACUAUAUUUUUGACAAGUUACAAUAAUACCAAUACAAAACGUUACACGCUCUAUCUCGUGCGAAUAAUUCUUCCCUGCGUUGAAAUUAGAUAAAGUUUGCGAUAGCAAUUUAUUUGUGCACUAAUUGACGACUGUCGAUUACUUUAUUUGCGCGAAGGAACGGAAUGGCGGAAUUUUAUAA